GAUGAACGCUGGCGGCGUGCUUAACACAUGCAAGUCGAGCGAGUGAGUUCUUCGGAACGAUCUAGCGGCGGACGGGUGAGUAACACGUGGGCAACCUGCCUCAUAGAGGGGAAUAGCCUUCCGAAAGGAAGAUUAAUACCGCAUAACAUCGUUGAAGGGCAUCCUUCGAUGAUCAAAGGAGCAAUCCGCUAUGAGAUGGGCCCGCGGCGCAUUAGCUAGUUGGUGAGGUAACGGCUCACCAAGGCGACGAUGCGUAGCCGACCUGAGAGGGUGAUCGGCCACAUUGGGACUGAGACACGGCCCAGACUCCUACGGGAGGCAGCAGUGGGGAAGAUUGCACAAUGGGGGAAACCCUGAGGCAGCAACGCCGCGUGAGUGAUGACGGCCUUCGGGUUGUAAAGCUCUGUCUUUGGGGACGAUAAUGACGGUACCCAAGGAGGAAGUCACGGCUAACUACGUGCCAGCAGCCGCCGUAAUAC
rnacentral:rRNA from 1 species